CCUCGCCUGAUUCAGUGCAUGGCAUGGACCUGCUCUGGGGAUAAAUCAGGGCUGUACAAUAAAGGAGACUGUUGUCUGUAGGACCCCUGCCUCAUUUGUUGAAGAAGCUGGAAGGUGUGUACUGAAUGAAUCAUGGGAAUGCCGAGGAGAAAGGACAGUCUCAUCUUAAGGAAUGCCAAGAAAAUAGCUAUCUGUAAAGAAGGUUUAUAAUGCUUGGUUGAUGGGAUGAUUAUUAUCGGAAGAGCACUUCUUGAGGUGUAAUAAAAACACAGUGACAUAAAAAUAGAAUGCUUUGGAUUCAUAAGUCAUCUGGUAUGGUUAUCUUGAGAUAGCUACAACAAUGGAGAUGAACUUCCAGGGUAAAAAAAAAGAAAGUGUCUUUGAAGCUUUUCUGCCAAAGAGGAACUAGAGGAUACAGUUCCACAGUAAUGACAUCAAGGGAGUUCCAUGCUGAGAUGGUGAGACCAUUGUACAAACACAGCAUGCCUAUCAUCAUGGAUUCACUGGUACCAAACCACAAGAAAAAACAGCUAAUUCCAGAGAGUACCAUAGAACCACCUAUAUUAAAGGCAGACCAAAAAAAAUCAUUGUUUUUACAGAAUAAUAAUAUUUAUAAUCUUGUUUGUUUUGCAUAACAAUGGACUUUCCACAUUGGACAGUUUAAAUCACUAAACUGCAUAUUUGAAUUUAAAACUAAAUUCUAAAAUAGAACCCAUUUCUCUGGCAACUGUCAGUUGGGACCACACCUCUUGCAAUUACAAGGAAUGCAUUUACAUACCAUAGUAAACUAAACUAACAAGAAUAAUUUAGUAGGACUCAGUCUUUAUGUAGGAUGUUGCUCAUAGAAAAUCAACAUAAUAAAUUACUUAGUUAUUUAAGUAAAAUGAGCAUAAAUUUGUCAUUAUGAAGAGUUGACAUCUGAUUUUCAACCUCCACUAAUGUCCCAAAAUAGAAACUUGUCUACGGGCUCCUCUAAAUUAUACCAGCUAGAUGGUUCCCUACACUCAGUAAAUGGUCUGGUCCACCAUCUGAGGAUUACCUGUGCACAGCUCCCUCUCCCUUUAAUGGAGCAAGCCAAUAAUGAACACUUUUUAAAAUCCCACAAUCACAAGUGCUUAAAAUAGUAUACUUCUUUUAUUUUAUGGUAAUACUGAGUGAUGAACAAAUAUAUGGCAGUUGAGAAUUGGCUGAGCUCCUUAACUGUUAAUUUCCAAACUUUCUAACAUUUGGGUGUUUUUGAAUAGGAGUUUAGGAUUAUACACUAAUGAAAAAAUCGCUGGAAGGGAUUUUUUCUUGCCUUUAUGAACAGCAAACCCUAAAAGAGAAAACUUUAUUUUAUCUAGACUGCUUUAGGUUUUUUGGGGGGAUUUUGGCAAAGCCCAUACCUAACAUCGUUAAACGUCCAAUUCUGUCCAUCAGAAGAGCAGAUACAAUAUUCCCUGGUAACACAGCCAAAGUUCCCAGGAAAUUAACAAAGUAAAUCCAAUAAGCACUGUAGUCAUCAUCAAAGAUGUCAUCCUGUAAGGUGCUCAGUGUUUCUGAAGCUCAGCAUUUUGCCAGAAGAGACCCUAAGUGAGUACCAAGAAAGGAAAAAAAAAGUAAAAAAGGAACAAAAGAAAAACCACCCUGUCUCCCACCAUUAGAGAUACAUCUCCUGCAUUCUCACAUGCCACACACAUUGGGUCUGAAAAUCUGAGUCCCCUGGUGAAAACCUGUCAUUGAUGUAUGAUCCAUUGAUGUGAAUCUGAUUUUCCAAUGUGAAGUUGAAGUUGAAAUCUACAAGUCUCUCUCCGUUAAAACGUUUCACUUUGGAUGCAUAUUCGUCCGAUUGCAGAUGUUUAAUGACAUCAGGGAACCAGACGGACAAUCCAUAGUAGCUGUGAAAAGCAGAAGGGUUCAGUCACAAAGCUCACCUUAAUGUCAGAAGUAUGUACAGACUAGAGAGACAACCUACAGCAUCCAACUACUUAAAGCAGAUAACUAGAUCUGCAGAAACACUUCUACUUCUACCUGAAUUUUAGAUUUUUAAGCAUCAAGCAUAAGAAUGCUUUUAGGAUGAAAUGCAUUUUGCUUGCAUAAAGUCAGAAUACUGGGGUCUCUCACACUCUUCAUCUGUGUGAGAUGGGAGGAAUAAAUCCAUCCUCCAAUCAGGAUCAGAGCUCAGGGGUGCACCAUAGACCUCCUACAGCUGCUCGUUUAACCUGUUGUGCUUUCAAGGUUGUUAGAACCACUGGAACUGUGUGGUCACCUAUCCAUUAUUUGAUUCACACUGUAAUCGUUCCCUAUGCCAGACUAUGCAGGGCCAGCAGAAACACCAUCAGUGGGAUGCAGGGAGAGUGGAGACCCUCGGUUCAGAUGUUCUGCCAGCUGCUCAUGCUGUGCAGUCCCAACACAGAGUUUAAGUGGCUGGAGAAUCUUGCCCAAGCUCUCUUCACUACAGUGAAUGUCACUGUGAAGUUUAAACUCUUUAGUUAGGGAUUGGGCCCCAGCAAAUUUACACGGCAUAAUGAUUACAAUGGUCUGAGAAUUAUCCUUAGCCCUGAGAGGGACAUGAUUGCUAUAGAAAUUCCCAAACCAAAGUAAGCUGGUGUAUCACUUACUCUACUGUUAAGGUCUCAAAAAAUGUUAUCUGGAAUCAGGGGACAACUGGCUGGAAGCUGGAGUGGGUCAGAGUGGAGUGCGGGUUGGGGCACUCUGUAUAGUGGGAAGUUGCAAAGGAGAUAAGGAGAUGUUGUUGUGGAAGGGAUCCUGAAAUAGAGGCGGCAGAGAGCACUUUAUGAAGGUGGAGGAAAGCUAAGGAACUAAAAAUGAGUUUUACUCUCCUUCAGUUCCUCAGUGUACUUCAAUGAGGAUAAAUUUAGCACAACAAUAAUUAAUUAUGAUUAAAAAAUACAAGAAAAGUUCAUUUUCUGACAGUUCAAUUUAAAUCUAUAUAGAACGACAGUCAUUAGGUUAAUAAGGAAGCAAAUAAGUGAAUUACUGUAGCAUCUGUUCACCAAUAAAACAUGUGCAUGGAACAAUAAGCCAUAAUAAUAAUAAUAUUAUUAUUGAGGAUUUAUAUAAUGCUUUACAUCUUCCAAGUGCUUACAAACUCUGACCCUUAAUCCAUUUUUUUCUCAUGGGAAAUCUCUUUUUAUUCAAGAAGAUAGUGUGCUGGGCCUAUAUAUUCAGAAGUGACAAGUGAUCUGGAGUUCCUCAGUUUUUGGUCACACAACUCAACACCUUGAAGAGUCCUGAAAGUCAGAACCCUUUAAGGUGCCAGCUGGGAAACCAAAAAUGGAGUAACCCCAAAAUAUGAUGUUUUAUUUAAAAGGUAAUGUAGUAAGUAUUGUCAAUAAGAAAAGAAAAUCACAAUGGCAAAACAGAUUUGCAUUCUGCAUGACUGGCAGCAUUAAACUUCAUCUGUAUUUCAAGAUUUACAGGCUAACCACGGAAAAUUCAUAAAGAAUCCAAGUCAAUCAUACCCAAAAGACAGCGUGAACCAUACAGCUGUAAGUUUGAUUGUAUUGUCCUUGACUGGAUAGUUGAAACAUCUCAUAAAUGUUAACCAAAUCUGUAAAAUAUGGGAAAAUACAUUUAAAA